rnacentral:rRNA from 1 species
GAUGAACGCUGGCGGCGUGCCUAAUACAUGCAAGUCGAGCGAACGGACGAGAAGCUUGCUUCUCUGAUGUUAGCGGCGGACGGGUGAGUAACACGUGGAUAACCUACCUAUAAGACUGGGAUAACUUCGGGAAACCGUAGCUAAUACCGGAUAAUAUUUUGAACCGCAUGGUUCAAAAGUGAAAGACGGUCUUGCUGUCACUUAUAGAUGGAUCCGCGCUGCAUUAGCUAGUUGGUAAGGUAACGGCUUACCAAGGCAACGAGGCAUAGCCGACCUGAGAGGGUGAUCGGCCACACUGGAACUGAGACACGGUCCAGACUCCUACGGGAGGCAGCAGUAGGGAAUCUUCCGCAAUGGGCGAAAGCCUGACGGAGCAACGCCGCGUGAGUGAUGAAGGUCUUCGGAUCGUAAAACUCUGUUAUUAGGGAAGAACAUGUGUGUAAGUAACUGUGCACAUCUUGACGGUACCUAAUCAGAAAGCCACGGCUAACUACGUG